CACUUUUUUAUAAAAGAUUGCGUGUAUCCCAUCAACUCUAGGAGCUUUCAAUUGGUCCAUGUUAAAUACAACCUUCUUAAUUUCUUUUGACGUGAUACUAGAUUGCAAAUAGUUGAACUCAACCUCAGUCAUCUUGUAAAAUAAACCUUGCUCCAUCGAUGUCGUGUCCUGUGGCCUUUCCUUAGAGAAAAGGACUUUGUAAAAUUCGGUAGCCAUUUGUUGAAGCACCUUCAGCUCAUAACACCAAUUGUCAUUGUUAAGC
rnacentral:lncRNA from 1 species